UACGUAGGGUGCAAGCGUUGUCCGGAAUUAUUGGGCGUAAAGAGCUCGUAGGCGGUCUGUCGCGUCUGCUGUGAAAACUCGGGGCUUAACCCCGGGCCUGCAGUGGGUACGGGCAGACUAGAGUACUGCAGGGGAGACUGGAAUUCCUGGUGUAGCGGUGGAAUGCGCAGAUAUCAGGAGGAACACCGGUGGCGAAGGCGGGUCUCUGGGCAGUAACUGACGCUGAGGAGCGAAAGCGUGGGGAGCGAACAGG
rnacentral:rRNA from 1 species